AUGAGCAUCAAAGCCAUGAGCCAUGAAAUCAUCUUUCAAGCAAAGCAUAAAGUCAUGUUCUUCAAUAGCUAUUGCCUUUCUGAAAUUAACAAGUAAAGAUAGCUAAAACUGCCAUACCUUUGCACCUUUAGUAUUUUAACAAACUCAUUCAAAAUCGUCAACUUAGACAUUGUUUUUCAAGUCAAGUAAAAUUGCCAAUUCUCAAUCUCAAAAAAUGCAAGUACUAACAUUGAUGCACAAUGAGAUUUUGCUCAGCAAAGUCACAAAUUAGCCAAGAAUGGUGUGAAAAUGAGUAUAAAACAUCAAAGUCAUAAACGCUAUCUCAUUGCAGCAACUACCAACAGGAAAUAAGGGUGAUGAAAUUACAUUUUGGUCCCAAGUUUUCCCAGUAUUUUCGUUUUGGAACAAUCUCAUGUUCAGCACUUUGCGACAUCUGCACCACAGAAAAUAUAUCAAAAUCAUAGCUCCAACAGAUUCACUCACGAUAAAAAAAAAAAUCAUCUUUCCGAUUUAUACGUACAUGUAUUCAGCGUCGGAGUCAACAUCAGUCUCAUGAAGCCCGACGAGGACAAGCAGGCCAGGUCCAAUCGACGAUAUCAAGCGGCCUUCCACCUGCAAACACCGCUAUCAAACACAGGUGAGCAAUUCGCAAUCCAAGUACAUGCGACACCGUUUUGUAAGAGAGAGAAUGCAAUUGUAGGUAGACCUCAACGCUAGCAGAAGCUACGCGCUGAACCACGGCCCUCAUUGAUUUGAUUGUUUGCUUCCUUCUUCCAGAGCAAACACGACUCGUGCGCUUAGAGCGUAGGAUAGCGGAUCGGCGUAGGGCAAUUAGGUGGUGUUUGGUUCCUAGAUGAAAUGAGGUUUGAAUUUGAUGUUGGGAUUGCAUAAACCCAGCAUAAUUUGGUAGCAUAGUUGCUAAUAUUACUCCUAAUUUUCUUCAA